CCUACGGGGGGCAGCAGUGAGGAAUAUUGGUCAAUGGACGAGAGUCUGAACCAGCCAAGUAGCGUGAAGGAUGACUGCCCUAUGGGUUGUAAACUUCUUUUAUAUGGGAAUAAAAUGUUCCACGUGUGGGAUUUUGUAUGUACCAUAUGAAUAAGGAUCGGCUAACUCCGGGCCAGCAGCCGCGGUAAUACGGAGGAUCCGAGCGUUAUCCGGAUUUAUUGGGUUUAAAGGGAGCGUAGGUGGAUUGUUAAGUCAGUUGUGAAAGUUUGCGGGUCAACCGUAAAAUUGCAGUUGAAACUGGCAGUCUUGAGUACAGUAGAGGUGGGCGGAAUUCGUGGUGUAGCGGUGAAAUGCUUAGAUAUCACGAAGAACUCCGAUUGCGAAGGCAGUUCACUGGACUGCAACUGACACUGAGGCUCGAAAGUGUGGGUAUCAAACAGGAUUAGAUACCCUAGUAGUC
rnacentral:rRNA from 1 species